GCCCUCCCAACAAAAAAGCAAAACAGGGCUGGCCCUAUAAGCCCUACAAGCCCCAAAUCUAAUCUUCUCCUCCCUGAGACCUUGACCUGAGAUUUUAGGCUGAGAACUACUUGCAUUGAAAGAGUGAAACUGUGAAAGGAUUUGCCUUGAAAUGGUGAAACUGUGAAAGGAUCUGCGUUCUACCUGUGAAAUCCGUGGCUAUUUCUCCUCCCUCACGCGGAAUCAGAGUGCAGUUUCCUGGUGUGGAAAACUGAAUGCUAUAGCUUGUGCCUCUGAAACAUAUGCUAGAAUUCCCAGCUCAACUGCAAAUCCCACCACUUUGGAUCCCUAUACAUAUUGUGAUCCCAGAGAGGCCUACUGAAU